rnacentral:rRNA from 1 species
UACGUAGGGUGCAAGCGUUGUCCGGAAUUAUUGGGCGUAAAGAGCUCGUAGGCGGCUUGUCACGUCGACUGUGAAAGCCCCGGGCUCAACCUGGGAAUGGCAAUGGAUACUGGCAAGCUAGAGUGCGGUAGAGGGUAGUGGAAUUCCCGGUGUAGCGGUGAAAUGCGUAGAGAUCGGGAGGAACACCAGUGGCGAAGGCGGCUACCUGGACCAGCACUGACACUGAGGCACGAAAGCGUGGGGAGCAAACAGG